rnacentral:tRNA from 1 species
GCGGGCGUGGUGGAAUGGUAGACACGCAAGGUUUAGGACCUUGUGGCCGAAAGGCUGUGGGGGUUCAAAUCCCUCCGCCCGCA